UUUUUUUACAAAUCUAUGGCAUCUUUUUAAUAACUGAAGGUAACAUGGUUACUUUAUUGUGUUAUAAAAUUACACUAUGUGCUUGGAAAAUAUAUAACACUGCCCCUCUAAGGG